CUUGAUGCUGCCCAGGCGCAGCGGUUCGCCGGUGCGGUCCCGGCCGUACGUGGCCAGCAGCGCCUGCGCCUC
rnacentral:antisense_RNA from 1 species